CUGGCGGCGUGCUUCACACAUGCAAGUUCGAAACGGUGAAGGGAAUCAGCCUCGCUCGGUUCCGGAACGAGCGGCGAACGGGUCGAGUAACACGCGAGUAACCCGCCCUCUUUCUUUCGGAUAACCGCACGAAAGUCGUCGGCUAAAUACGGGAUAUUCUGGGUCUGUCGCACGACGGGCCCGGGAAAGAUGCGCCUUUCGGGCGUUUUUGGUGGGGGAAGGGCUCGCGGCCUAUCAGCUUGUUGGUGGGGUGAUGGCCUACCAAGGCGGUGACGGGUAGCCGGCCUGAGAGGGUGGACGGUCACACUGGGACUGAGACACGGCCCAGACUCCUACGGGAGGCAGCAGUGGGGAAUAUUGCACAAUGGGCGCAAGCCUGAUGCAGCGACGCCGCGUGAGGGAUGGAGGCCUUCGGGUUGUAAACCUCUUUCGCCAGUGAAGCAGGCCUGCUCCUUGUGGGUGGGUUGACGGUAGCUGGAUAAGAAGCGCCCGGCUAACUACGUGCCAGCAGCCGCGGUAAUACGUAGGGCGCGAGCGUUGUCCGGAAUUAUUGGGCGUAAAGAGCUCGUAGGCGGCUGGUCGCGUCUGUCGUGAAAUCCUCUGGCUUAACUGGGGGCUUGCGGUGGGUACGGGCCGGCUUGAGUGCGGUAGGGGAGACUGGAACUCCUGGUGUAGCGGUGGAAUGCGCAGAUAUCAGGAAGAACACCGGUGGCGAAGGCGGGUCUCUGGGCCGUUACUGACGCUGAGGAGCGAAAGCGUGGGGAGCGAACAGGAUUAGAUACCCUGGUAGUCCACGCCGUGAACGUUGGGCACUAGGUGUGGGGGGCCUUUUCCGGGUCUUCCGCGCCGUAGCUAACGCAUUAAGUGCCCCGCCUGGGGAGUACGGCCGCAAGGCUAAAACUCAAAGGAAUUGACGGGGGCCCGCACAAGCGGCGGAGCAUGCGGAUUAAUUCGAUGCAACGCGAAGAACCUUACCAAGGCUUGACAUGUGCCGGUCGGCUCCGGAGACGGGGCUUCCUCCUUGUGGGGCCGGUUCACAGGUGGUGCAUGGUUGUCGUCAGCUCGUGUCGUGAGAUGUUGGGUUAAGUCCCGCAACGAGCGCAACCCUUGUCCCGUGUUGCCAGCACGUUGUGGUGGGGACUCGCGGGAGACUGCCGGGGUCAACUCGGAGGAAGGUGGGGAUGACGUCAAAUCAUCAUGCCCCUUAUGUCUUGGGCUUCACGCAUGCUACAAUGGCCGGUACAGAGGGCUGCGAUACCGUGAGGUGGAGCGAAUCCCUUAAAGCCGGUCUCAGUUCGGAUCGGUGUCUGCAACUCGACACCGUGAAGCUGGAGUCGCUAGUAAUCGCAGAUCAGCAACGCUGCGGUGAAUACGUUCUCGGGCCUUGUACACACCGCCCGUC
rnacentral:rRNA from 1 species